rnacentral:lncRNA from 1 species
GUUAUUUUUUACUCUUUUUCUCUUUGAACUGCAGCUAAACAUCGUCUAAUUUCAACGAUCAAUAUUGCUUGAGUGCCUUAAGGCAAACCUCACAUGCUUUCUAUCUUUCCAGCACAGCUAAUGGAAAAGUAACAGACCUUAAAAUAAAUGGGCGUACAGAGGAUGUGCUGUCCUGUCCUGAGGAUUUGUGAAGUUAUGUGAUGUGAGACCAGCAGGCAGCACCUUUCAGGCUGUG